UUCAGAGUUUUAAAAACGCGCAUUGCAAAAACAAUAAUACUCAAUCAAUGCGAUAGCAAUGAGCCAAUAACCAAAUGGACGGGGACGUUACAUUUGAGGGUAGGGGUUAACGUGACAAGCCUGUUUACAAAUGUAACGAUUGAUUCUUCAAUGUUGUUUGAACCACACUGAUAUGUCCACGCUUGAAUCUAGUGUCCUAUGGGAGUGCGAAGUGACAGUUCUCAGUUCUACACAACGGAAGUGUCGACCAUCUUAAAUAAACAAGACCUAAUAUCAAGUAUACUACUGUGUAUGUAAUGCUUUAUGGAUUAUCCAGAUGCAUCCUACCAGUUGUGACCUAUGUAAUGGAGACCAUGACACUAACAGAGCUAUCUACAAAUAGAUUAAGAAUAACAUAGGGAGUCAUACCAAUCUAGGACGAGCAAACCAGGAGGCAGGUGAAAGAUACAACUGAAACAUCCGUGGUAUCUUCGUGCUGUAGCAGAAAUUUGGAACAGCGGAAAAUCAGCAGCAUCUUUAAGAUAUCUUCGCCUAAAAAUUAAUAAAAUCAUUACUAUUUAAAUUUUGUUAAUUAAAAUAAAAAAUAAACAAUCA
rnacentral:lncRNA from 1 species